CCACUGCCAAGGAAAUCUCUUGUUCCUGCUCCCGAGGUCUCUGAAUCCCGUGGCCUCACUGAGCGGGAGGUGCAGGGCUCCCUUCCUGCAGCCUGGCUCCUGCCCACCAUCCCAGCCCCCUCUCAUGGAAGGGACACUUCGGAUGGCACCCCACUGCUGCCCCAGGUGGAGUGAGAAGGCUCCCGAAGCCAGGGUUUCAUCUCCAGACGGAGGAGAGGCUGGGCGGCGCGGGACCGCCUCAGGGAGCAGGGCAGGAAGAGCGGGGCGCAGACGCCGGCAGGCCCCCGGGUCCUCUCUGUCCAGUUCCUUCCACCUGGCAGUCUCCCUGACCCGUUGCACUACAUUUGGACGUCAGAUUUGCAUGCGUGUUCUGUUAUGCCACACCUUCUAUGAGUGGGGAGCCGAACGACAGGGGACUCAAGGCUCGUGAGUAGAGGGAUUUGGACCCAGACAACCUGGUGCUGACGCCCACCCGCUGAUCAUCACCACCCUCCGCCAUUUUCCUGAAGACAGCUGAGGCUUAGAAAGUAAAGAACUUGCCCCUUGAGAGCCCGCGAGUGGCCUGGGAAGCCUGCAGUCCUGCUGCUUCUCUUGGACCGAGGGCUGCUGGCCCCGGAGGGUUUCGUGGAGGAGCUUGGCUGCAGAAACCGCCAAGCCACCCAGAGAUCCUGGGGACACAAUCUGUGCUCUAGACCUGUCCCUACCCACCUUGCGGCUCUUCACAUGAGGUCCACACACCAUUCAAAACCUGGCUUAACAGGGACUCAGAGCUCUGUGAAGCCUUCCUCAGUCUCUGCCCCCCUCCCCUCCUUCCCCACCAAGGCCCCCCGAGGGAGGACUGGAGGAUCAGUCACAUCCCAAGUCCUCACAGUGUGGAAGUGGCAGGACAGGACUGGCCGCCCCGAGGGGAGGUGGCAGCAAAUGUUUGCAGGAUGAAUGAAUAAAAGGAAAAAAAUGAUAACAAA